AAAUAAUCAAUGAUGAAGAGAGUAAACAGAAUGUUUUUCUUUAAGCGAGUGAGGGGAGGGAGAGCCUGACAGAAAACUUUAGUCGAAACGCACUUCAUCGAUGAAGUGGUGAAAAAAGUAGCCUCUUCCGCGAAUCAGGCGUUACUAUAAUGAGGUGGAUAUGCCAAGGCAUGUCAACUAGAGUGGUACCGCGGAUAAUAUAAAUUUAGCCCGUCUCUUGU
rnacentral:ncRNA from 1 species